rnacentral:misc_RNA from 1 species
UCUUACUGUCUAGUCCUAUUUGUGUGAGUAAUAACCAUUGAUACAUAAAUAUCAACCACUUCAUAAUAGAAUUUUGGACUGCAAAGAUAGUACAACCAAUUACAGACUAUUGUUAUUUACAAGCAAAACAGUAUGUAUAAGCCAACACAGCUUAUAAGAAUUGACACGCAAUGAGAUGGCUGUUAUAUAAUUGGUGCCAUGCUAGAACACUCUUUUCUUUGUAAGGUUGUCUUAUCAGCUAGAAGAAAAAGAACAAGGGAAUUCAGAGAGAGAGAGAGAGAGA